AAGUCGUAACAAGGUUUCCGUAGGUGAACCUGCGGAAGGAUCAUUACAGUAAACGCAAGGUCGCGCGCAGUUGCUGGCCCUCCGGGGCAUGUGCACGCCGCGUCCGCAUCCUUCUCUCACCCCUGUGCACCUUUGCGUGGGGCGCCGUUUGGCUUUUUUGCCCUUCGGUGCUUCGCGUUCUUACACACACCACGUAUGUCUUCAGAAUGUCUACUUGCGAUAAAAAGCAAAUUGAAUACAACUUUCAACAACGGAUCUCUUGGCUCUC
rnacentral:misc_RNA from 1 species